GUAUGCGGAGGAACACCGGUGCGAAGCAGUCCCCUGGCCUGUACGACGCUCAUGCACGAAGCGUGGGGAGCAACAGGAUAGAUACCCUGGUAGUCACGCGUAAACGAUGUCAACUAGUGUUGGGGAUUUAUUUCUCAGUAACGAAGCUAACGCGUGAAGUUGACCGCCUGGGACUACGGCCGCAAGGCUAAAACUCAAAGGAAUUGACGGGGACCCGCACAAGCGGUGGAUGAUGUGGUUUAAUUCGAUGCAACGCGAAAAACCUUACCCACCCUUUGACAUGUACGGAAGUUGCCAGAGAUGGCUUCGUGCUCGAAAGAGAACCGUAACACAGGUGCUGCAUGGCUGUCGUCAGCUCGUGUCGUGAGAUGUUGGGUUAAGUCCCGCAACGAGCGCAACCCUUGCCAUUAGUUGCUACAUUCAGUUGGGCACUCUAAUGGGACUGCCGGUGACAAACCGGAGGAAGGUGGGGAUGUCGUCAAGUCCUCAUGGCCCUUAUAGGUGGGGCUACACACGUCAUACAAUGGCUGGUACAAAGGGUUGCCAACCCGCGAGGGGGAGCCAAUCCCGUAAAGCCAGUCGUAGUCCGGAUCGCAGUCUGCAACUCGACUGCGUGAAGUCGGAAUCGCUAGUAAUCGUGGAUCAGAAUGUCACGGUGAAUACGUUCCCGGGUCUUGUACACACCGCCCGUCACACCAUGGGAGCGGGUUCUGCCAGAAGUGGUUAGCCUAACCGCAAGGAGGGCGAUCACCACGGCAGGGUUCGUGACUGGGGUGAAGUCGUAACAAGGUAGCCGUAA
rnacentral:rRNA from 1 species